GCCGAGGUAGCUCAUUGGUAGAGCGCGGCCCUGAAAAGGCCGGCGUAGGAAGUUCGAUUCUUCUCCUCGGCACCA
rnacentral:tRNA from 3 species